GGAUUCCCCUAGUAACUGCGAGUGAAGCGGGAAAAGCUCAAAUUUAAAAUCGGGCAGUUCUUGCAGCUGUCCGAGUUGUAAUUUAGAGAAGUGCUAUCCGUGCUGGACCGUGUACAAGUCUCCUGGAACGGAGCGUCAUAGAGGGUGAGAAUCCCGUACAUGACACGGACUACCAGUGCAUUUGUGAUGCGCUCUCAAAGAGUCGAGUUGUUUGGGAAUGCAGCUCAAAAUGGGUGGUAAAUUCCAUCUAAAGCUAAAUACAGGCGAGAGACCGAUAGCGAACAAGUACCGUGAGGGAAAGAUGAAAAGAACUUUGGAAAGAGAGUUAAACAGUACGUGAAAUUGUUGAAAGGGAAACGCUUAAAGUCAGUCGCGUUGUUCAGGAAUCAGCCUUUGCCCCUUGGCUUGGUGUACUUUCUGUUCAACGGGUCAGCAUCAGCUUUGACCACUGGAAAAAGUUCAUGGGAAUGUGGCAUCUUCGGAUGUGUUAUAGCCCACGUCCGUAUACAGUGGUUGGGACUGAGGACUCAGCACUUUGAUGUGCUUGGGAUGCUGGCAUAAUGGCUUUAAGCGACCCGUCUUGAAACACGGACCAAGGAGUCUAACAUGCCUGCGAGUGUUUGGGUGGAAAACCCGAGCGCGCAAUGAAAGUGAAAAGUUGGGAUCUCUGUCGUGGAGAGCACUGACGCCCGGACCUGAAGUAUUCGGACGGUUCUGCGGUAGAGCAUGUAUGUUGGGACCCGAAAGAUGGUGAACUAUGCCUGAAUAGGGCGAAGCCAGAGGAAACUCUGGUGGAGGCUCGUAGCGAUUCUGACGUGCAAAUCGAUCGUCGAAUUUGGGUAUAGGGG
rnacentral:rRNA from 1 species